AUGAACGCUAGCGACAGGCCUAACACAUGCAAGUCAGGGGCAGCACAAGGAGCAAUCUGAGGUGGCGACCGGCGCACGGGUGAGUAACACGUAUGCAACCUGCCUGUAAGCGGGGAAUAACCCGUUGGAAGACGGACUAAUACCGCAUAAUACUAAAUUACUGCAUGGUAAUUUAUUUAAACAUUUAUGGCUUACAGAUGGGCAUGCGCAUGAUUAGCUAGUUGGAGAGGUAACGGCUCCCCAAGGCAACGAUCAUUAGGGGUUCUGAGAGGAAGGUCCCCCCACACUGGUACUGAGACACGGACCAGACUCCUACGGGAGGCAGCAGUGAGGAAUAUUGGUCAAUGGACGAGAGUCUGAACCAGCCAAGUCGCGUGCAGGAAGAAUGUCCUAUGGAUUGUAAACUGCUUUUGCAGGGGAAUAAAGUGCAUCACGUGUGAUGUUUUGUAUGUACUCUGCGAAUAAGGAUCGGCUAACUCCGUGCCAGCCGCCGC
rnacentral:rRNA from 1 species